GUCUACGACCAUACCACCCUGAAUGUGCCCGAUCUCGUCUGAUCUUGGAAGCUAAGCAGGGUCGGGCCUGGUUAGUACUUGGAUGGGAGAGAUUACGUAAAGAGUCACUUUUGAGGAGAUCUAAUAUAUCCUGGCCU
rnacentral:rRNA from 1 species